GUAAUAGCUCACUGGUCGAGUCGGCCUGCGCGGAAGAUGUAACGGGGCUAAACCAUGCACCGAAGCUGCGGCAGCGACGCUGAUGCGUUGUUGGGUAGGGGAGCGUUCUGUAAGCCUGCGAAGGUGGCCUGUGAGGGUUGCUGGAGGUAUCAGAAGUGCGAAUGCUGACAUAAGUAACGAUAAAGCGGGUGAAAAGCCCGCUCGCCGGAAGAC
rnacentral:rRNA from 1 species